AUUGAACGCUGGCGGCAGGCCUAACACAUGCAAGUCGAACGAGUCGCGGACGGGUGAGUUAUGUCUGGGAAACUGCCUGACGGAGGGGGAUAACUACUGGAAACGGUAGCUAAUACCGCAUACCAUCGUAUGUGCCCAGAUGGGAUUAGCUAGUAGGUGGGGUAAAGGCUCACCUAGGCGACGAUCCCUCGCUGGUCUGAGAGGAUGACCAGACACACUGGAACUGAGACACGGUCCAGACGCCUACGGGAGGCAGCAGUGGGGAAUAUGGCACAAUGGGAGAAAGCCUGAUGCAGCCAGGCCGGGUGUAUGAAGAAGGCAUGCGGGUUGUAAAGUACUUUCAGCGGGGAGGGGGGAAAAGAAGAAGAAGCACCGGCUAACGCCGUGCCAGCAGCCGCGGUAAGAG
rnacentral:rRNA from 1 species